rnacentral:rRNA from 1 species
AAUCUUGCGCAAUGGGCGAAAGCCUGACGCAGCGACGCCGCGUGGGUGAUGAAGGCCUUCGGGUUGUAAAGCCCUGUGGAGGGGGACGAAUAAGUCUUGGCUAACAUCCAAGAUGAUGACGGUACCCCUUUAGCAAGCCCCGGCUAACUCUGUUCCAGCAGCCGCGGUAAUACGUAGGGUGCAAGCGUUGCCCGGAUUUAUUGGGCGUAAAGGGCGCGUAAGCGGCUUCACACGUCACGCGUGAAAUCUCCCGGCUCAACGGGGAGGGGUCGCGUGAUACGGUGAGGCUAGAGCAAGGUAGGGGGCAGUGGAAUUCCCGGUGUAGUGGUGGAAUGCGUAGAUAUCGGGAGGAACACCAGUGGCGAAGGCGACUGCCUGGACCUUUGCUGACGCUAAUGCGCGAAAGCGUGGGGAGCGAUC